rnacentral:rRNA from 1 species
UACAGAGACUGCAAGCGUUAUUCGGAUUCACUGGGCGUAAAGGGUGCGCAGGCGGCCGUGUGUGUGAGGCGUGAAAGCCCGGGGCUUAACCCCGGAAUUGCACCUCAAACUACACGGCUAGAGCAUUGGAGAGGGUAGCAGAAUUCACGGUGUAGCAGUGAAAUGCGUAGAUAUCGUGAGGAAUACCAGAGGCGAAGGCGGCUACCUGGACAAUUGCUGACGCUCAGGCACGAAAGCUAGGGUAGCAAACGGG